UCCGAGUUGACCCCGGCAGUCUCCUACGAGUCCCCGGCAUUACCCGCUGGCAACAUAGGACAAGGGUUGCGCUCGUUGCGGGACUUAACCCAACAUCUCACGACACGAGCUGACGACAGCCAUGCAGCACCUGUGCAUGCUCCCCUUGCGGGGUCGUCCCACUUUCAUGGUUCUGCCACAUGCAUGUCAAGGCCAGGUAAGGUUCUUCGCGUUGCAUCGAAUUAAGCCACAUACUCCACCGCUUGUGCAGGCCCCCGUCAAUUCCUUUGAGUUUUAGCCUUGCGGCCGUACUCCCCAGGCGGGGCGCUUAAUGCGUUAGCUGCGGCACGGAUCCCGUCGAUAGGGACCCACACCUAGCACCCAUCGUUUACGGCGUGGACUAC
rnacentral:misc_RNA from 1 species